GGGUAGGUGGCAGAGCGGUCAAUUGCAAGGGACUGUAAAUCCCUCGGGGAAACCCUACGAAGGUUCAAAUCCUUCCCUGCCCA
rnacentral:tRNA from 1 species